CUGGGCCAUGGGGUGGAGGUUCUGAAACCACUUCGCUGCAGCUCCUAGAUACUCCCCUCCCCCACACAUACACACUUGGGAAAAUGGAAUGUUUAUUUUCACCUUUGUGAAAAUCUUGGAGUUCUGGGUCUGUGGUUUGGAACCCCAAAGAGGAACGCAUUGGGUGUAAGAUCUGGGCGUAGAGAGAGGCUUCAGAGAGACUAAGGCUUUCGCAGGUGGAAUGCUCUGACGGAGACUGUGGGAAGAUAUUUUGUGCCAAGAUGCAGGGAAGUGAGGAAAGCUCUUUCCUGCUGUUUUUAAUGAAUCCAUGGAGUGGACUCAGCUUGGGACCAGUAGCCGCUGGGAGGAAGGCUGGCUGUCUUCAUCGCCACUCGUCAUUGCCAUCGCCACCGCCACUGACCAUACGAGAGAGGCUGAAAGUGUGUCUGGAAUUGGUGGGUUCCUGGUCUCACUGACUUCAAGAAUGAAGCCAUGGACCCUCACAGUGAGUGUCACAGUUCUUAAAGGCGGCGUGUCCAGGGUUUGUUCCUUCUGAUGUUCGAAUGUGUUCGGAGUUUCUUCCUUCCGGUGGGUUCGUGGUCUCGCUGGCUCAGGAGUGAAGCUGCAGACCUUCGCGACAAGAAACAGGUUCAGGGAGCAAAAGGUUUCCAGCAGCAAGAGGUUGCCAAGAAGAUAAACACCAACCCACUUACUCACCAUCCAAUAUCACCAGCCACCAUUGACAUAACAAGGAAAGGAAAGCUGUCUCAGCAGGGUUCAUGUGGUGGUCAGAUAAGAAAAUGUGUUUGAACUGUCUAGAUGAUAUUAAUUGGAUCCCUGCUUAUUUCUUUAAAUAAAUGUUUGUAAGUAAAUA
rnacentral:lncRNA from 1 species